ensembl:snRNA U6 U6 spliceosomal RNA
GCUCUCUUUGGCUGUGCUUAUACUACAACUGGAAUAAUAUGGAGAAGAUCAGCAUGGCUCCUGUGCAAGGAUGCAUGCAAAUUCGUGAAGUGUUACAUAUUUUU